rnacentral:rRNA from 1 species
UACGAAUGGGGCAAGCGUUGUUCGGAAUCACUGGGCUUAAAGCGUAUGCAGGCGGACUAGCAAGUCAGGAGUGAAAUCCCCGGGCUCAACCCGGGAAUUGCUUUUGAAACUGCCAGUCUAGAAUCCCGGAGAGGUUAACAGAAUUCCGAGUGUAGAGGUGAAAUUCGCAGAUAUUCGGAGGAAUACCAGUGGCGCAAGCGGUUAACUGGACGGGCAUUGACGCUCAGAUACGAAAGCAUGGGGAGCAAACAGG